CUCCUUUGACGUUAGCGGCGGACGGGUGAGUAACACGUGGGUAACCUACCUAUAAGACUGGGACAACUUCGGGAAACCGGAGCUAAUACCGGAUAAUAUGUUGAACCGCAUGGUUCAAUAGUGAAAGAUGGUUUUGCUAUCACUUAUAGAUGGACCCGCGCCGUAUUAGCUAGUUGGUGAGGUAACGGCUCACCAAGGCAACGAUACGUAGCCGACCUGAGAGGGUGAUCGGCCACACUGGAACUGAGACACGGUCCAGACUCCUACGGGAGGCAGCAGUAGGGAAUCUUCCGCAAUGGGCGAAAGCCUGACGGAGCAACGCCGCGUGAGUGAUGAAGGUCUUAGGAUCGUAAAACUCUGUUAUUAGGGAAGAACAAACGUGUAAGUAACUGUGCACGUCUUGACGGUACCUAAUCAGAAAGCCACGGCUAACUACGUGCCAGCAGCCGCGGUAAUACGUAGUGGCAAGCGUUAUCCGGAAUUAUUGGGCGUAAAGCGCGCGUAGGCGGUUUUUAAGUCUGAUGUGAAAGCCCACGGCUCAACCGUGGAGGGUCAUUGGAAACUGGAAAACUUGAGUGCAGAAGAGGAAAUGGAAUUCCAUGUGUAGCGGUGAAAUGCGCAGAGAUAUGGAGGAACACCAGUGGCGAAGGCGACUUUCUGGUCUGUAACUGACGCUGAUGGUGCGAAAGCGUGGGGAUCAAACAGGAUUAGAUACCCUGGUAGUCCACGCCGUAAACGAUGAGUGCUAAGUGUUAGGGGGUUUCCGCCCCUUAGUGCUGCAGCUAACGCAUUAAGCACUCCGCCUGGGGAGUACGACCGCAA
rnacentral:rRNA from 1 species